UGCUGCAACCGCCCCGGUGGCCUGGUGGUUAGGGCGUCCGCCUCGAAUGCGGGAGGUCGAGGGUUCCAUCCCCGGUCGAGUAA